rnacentral:rRNA from 1 species
UCCGUAGGCGGAUCAGUAAGUCAGGGGUGAAAGUUUGCGGCUCAACCGUAAAAUUGCCUUUGAUACUGCUGGUCUUGAGUUACGGUGAAGUGGCCGGAAUAUGUGGUGUAGCGGUGAAAUGCAUAGAUAUCACAUAGAACACCGAUUGCGAAGGCAGGUCACUAACCGUAUACUGACGCUGAUGGACGAAAGCGUGGGGAGCAAACAGGAUUAGAUACCCUGGUAGUCC